rnacentral:rRNA from 1 species
GAGGAAGGAGGGGGGCGUGCCUAAUACAUGCAAGUCGAGCGAACGGAUGAGAAGCUUGCUUCUCUGAUGUUAGCGGCGGACGGGUGAGUAACACGUGGAUAACCUACCUAUAAGACUGGGAUAACUUCGGGAAACCGGAGCUAAUACCGGAUAAUAUUUUGAACCGCAUGGUUCACACGUGAAAGACGGUCUUGCUGUCACUUAUAGAUGGAUCCGCGCUGCAUUAGCUAGUUGGUAAGGUCACGGCUUACCAAGGCAACGAUGCAUAGCCGACCUGAGAGGGUGAUCGGCCACACUGGAACUGAGACACGGUCCAGACUCCUACGGGAGGCAGCAGUAGGGAAUCUUCCGCAAUGGGCGAAAGCCUGACGGAGCAACGCCGCGUGAGUGAUGAAGGUCUUCGGAUCGUAAAACUCUGUUAUUAGGGAAGAACAUAUGUGUAAGUAACUGUGCACAUCUUGACGGUACCUAAUCAGAAAGCCACGGCUAACUACGUG